rnacentral:tRNA from 1 species
GGGAUAAUAGUUAUAUAUAACAUUUAAAUUGCAAUUAAAAAAUAUUGAAUAAAUCAAUUUAUCUCA